UGUAAUAUUUCUAUUACAGCCGGACUAUACCUUAAGCCUUUAACAGACCAAUAUCCAUCUAGUCUCUGAACCUUUCUUAUUAAGAAUUGGCUGCUGAUUGUUCAAUUCACUGCAUUAUUACCAUUUGGUAGCAAUGAUUUCAGAAGUUUCCAGCAAUUUGGAUAUUUCGCAAGCUUUAUGCUUACUAGUGUUUUUAACACUUUUACCGACUACAACAGAAUUAAUAUAG
rnacentral:ncRNA from 1 species